rnacentral:rRNA from 1 species
GACGAACGCUGGCGGCGUGCUUAACACAUGCGAGUCGAACGGUAAGGCCCCUUCGGGGGUACACGAGUGGCGAACGGGUGAGUAACACGUGAGCAACCUGCCCUUGACUCUGGAAUAACAGUUGGAAACAGCUGCUAAUACUGGAUAUUCAUCGUCUCCUUCCUGGGGGGUGGUGGAAAGCUCCGGCGGUCAGGGAUGGGCUCGCGGCCUAUCAGCUUGUUGGUGAGGUAAUGGCUCACCAAGGCUUCGACGGGUAGCCGGCCUGAGAGGGCGACCGGCCACACUGGGACUGAGAUACGGCCCAGACUCCUACGGGAGGCAGCAGUGGGAAUAUUGCACAAUGGGCGCAAGCCUGAUGCAGCAACGCCGCGUGCGGGAUGACGGCCUUCGGGUUGUAAACCGCUUUCAGUAGGGACGAAGGGUGACUGACGGUACCUACAGAAGAAGGACCGGCUAACUACGUG